AGUAACAAAACAACAUCGGAGUGCUGCGCGCGCACCCCCGGUCCUCGCGCCUAAAAAGGUUGGUGACCGCUGUUCUAACCCAACACUGAGAAAAGUCUCUAACUAGUUCUACAUCCGGUCUGUAAGGUUAUUAGCGGGAAGUAACGGAGAAUUCAACGAUAAAGCCCAAGAGGAAAAAUGGUUGAUGUGAGUGUGAACGCUGUGGGACGCACUUAGCACGUACAAAAUGGGGAGAAACAGGAAGCAGCUCUGGACCAAUCAGAGCGCAGCGCUUUGCCACUGCGAAGCCGACGCCUCAACGUGUUGCUGUGCCG